CAGUCAUUUAAUUGUUUCAGGAUGCAGUAUAGCCUAGAACCAGAGGAAGUGUGCUGAUGUGUAGGAGUGUAUACAUGUCCAUGUGUGUGCAUGUGAUUGUUUCUGUUUAUGAUAGUAAAAUUCAAGGAAGUGUUGUAUGGAGUUUGAUGAGGGGCACCGUUUAGUGAGAUGUGCAUUCCAAGUAAUGUAGCAGAUGAAGGUGCUGUUGAAAGAGCCUUGUUACAGAUGAGGAGAGCAGGUAAUCAUCCCCCAUAGAGGCUGGCAGGAAGGUGGAGGGCAUCAAUAUCCGCACGCCUACGUUUUGCUUCUAUUUUUGCCAACGUUGCCAUAUCUAUUGGCUUUAAUAGGAUUCAAAUGAAAAACAAAAGCAGAAACAAGAAGGGGUGUAGAAAUCAAGGUCCCUUAUCUGUAUUCGGCUGGAUUCGAGAUGGAAAAUUUUACAGGGACGUACGCACCGCAUCACACUGGUCAAUUGCUCUAAGAUACAUCUGGGGGAAAAGCACAGUGUCCUUCGUCUCCAUGAGAGAACUUACCGGAAGCAGCAUACACAACUCUACCAAAGAAGAAGUACAGUACCCAUUUCCGUAUAAGAAUAUAUUAUUUAAAAGACAGUUUAAAAAUAAAAUUCUGUACAGCA